rnacentral:rRNA from 1 species
UACGAAGGGUGCAAGCGUUACUCGGAAUUACUGGGCGUAAAGGGUGCGUAGGUGGUUGUUUAAGUCUGUUGUGAAAGCCCCGGGCUCAACCUGGGAAUGGCAAUGGAUACUGGACAGCUAGAGUGCGGUAGAGGGUAGUGGAAUUCCCGGUGUAGCAGUGAAAUGCGUAGAGAUCGGGAGGAACACCAGUGGCGAAGGCGGCUACCUGGACCGACACUGACGCUGAGGCGCGAAAGCUAGGGGAGCAAACGGG